rnacentral:rRNA from 1 species
UUUAACGAGAGUUUGAUCCUGGCUCAGGAUGAACGCUGGCGGCGUGCUUAACACAUGCAAGUCGAACGAAGCACUUAUCUUUGAUUCUUCGGAUGAAGAGGUUUGUGACUGAGUGGCGGACGGGUGAGUAACGCGUGGGUAACCUGCCUCAUACAGGGGGAUAACAGUUAGAAAUGACUGCUAAUACCGCAUAAGACCACGGAGCCGCAUGGCUCAGUGGGAAAAACUCCGGUGGUAUGAGAUGGACCCGCGUCUGAUUAGGUAGUUGGUGGGGUAACGGCCUACCAAGCCAACGAUCAGUAGCCGACCUGAGAGGGUGACCGGCCACAUUGGGACUGAGACACGGCCCAAACUCCUACGGGAGGCAGCAGUGGGGAAUAUUGCACAAUGGGGGAAACCCUGAUGCAGCGACGCCGCGUGAGCGAAGAAGUAUUUCGGUAUGUAAAGCUCUAUCAGCAGGGAAGAAAAUGACGGUACCUGACUAAGAAGCACCGGCUAAAUACGUGCCAGCAGCCGCGGUAAUACGUAUGGUGCAAGCGUUAUCCGGAUUUACUGGGUGUAAAGGGAGCGUAGACGGCUGUGUAAGUCUGAAGUGAAAGCCCGGGGCUCAACCCCGGGACUGCUUUGGAAACUAUGCAGCUAGAGUGUCGGAGAGGUAAGUGGAAUUCCCAGUGUAGCGGUGAAAUGCGUAGAUAUUGGGAGGAACACCAGUGGCGAAGGCGGCUUACUGGACGAUGACUGACGUUGAGGCUCGAAAGCGUGGGGAGCAAACAGGAUUAGAUACCCUGGUAGUCCACGCCGUAAACGAUGACUACUAGG